UAUUUUUUAAUUCUAAAUGUAAAAAUCCUAAGCGUCAGGAUUUCAUUCACUAGAUAGACUUUUUUUUCCUGUUUUUCUUUUACGCUUAGCAAUUGCCAUAAUAAUUUCUAACCCUUACGUUUAGAUUUCCCAGACGUAAGACCUGACUCGGGGAGGUGAGCCCUGGCAUACAGGAGCGUUUGUUCUUGGCCGUUGAACUCGAGGCGCAUCAGGUGGUCCCCGAAUUUCCAAACAGGCAGGAUCCUGACUUCCUUCCCACGCAUAAAAGAAAAUGUUUAUUAGCUGAAAGAUUAACCUGGGGAGAAAUACAGAAAUAGAGGAAAGAGUAGGGGCGAGCAAGGGUACAGUCCAACCAAGGGGGCUACUUAUUUGGCUGCCUUAAUUUGUAACUUAAUCUGUGAAGGAGCCAGAUCCUAAUUGGGGGCAGUGGACAUCAGAAGCCGCCCGCAGUCACAAGGCAGCGCCACACACGCCGGCUGGGGCUCCCUCUCUCUGCCCUUCCUUUCCCACUCUCCUCCUUCUCUUUGCACACACUCUUCUUCUCGCCUCUGCCUCUGAUCUGGUUAAUAAAAAUAAUAAGUUACAACCUGCGUAAGUUUACAAAGGCUGCGCUGGUAAAUUCAGGCGGCCGGGGGCGGGCCCGCUGCGCUCUCCGGGCCUCCUCCCGCCGCGUCUCCGGCUGCAGCCGCAAACCCAGGCCCCGUGGAGAAAGCGAUCCAGAACCGCAGUUGCCCGCUGCUCCUUCUGUCUCGGAUUUGCGCACACAGACAGCCCCUCCCCCACGUGUUGGCGACUGUUCAUCAUUCUUCUCUUCCAACAAUCAGUCUCAUCUCGAUUCGGAUCCACUGAGAACCAGUCCCCUACAAAAAAACUCCUCGCGCAGCCCAGCGAAGAGCUCUGCGGGACUCCGCAGCGCCCAAACUCAGUUCGGGCCCGGAGAGAUUCUCUCCUACUGUGGGGUUUUCAAUCAAUUCUCAUCUGUCGCUGGGGCAUAGGAGAGGUGCGAGGUUUGGGGAGAGCUAAAGGAGAAUGUGCUCUGAGGGUAAGCUUGUCUUCACUCCUCCUUCCCUCUCACCUCCAAGUUCUCCAGAUUGGGAAAUGGGAAAGGAAGGGAGAGAAGGGGUCUCUGACUGACCAAGACAAGGGAGCGGUGAGGAAGCAAUGAACCUGUAAAGCGAUCCCACGAAAUCUCACUAGGCUGGGGCUGUGAGCUUCCCCAUUCGUGGCCAAUCUCCAGCAGUAUCUGCUCUGCCUCCGGGUGAUACCGCAAUAAUUUCUCACCCUGUGCGUGAAAAACUGCCGCCUUCACUUUCUCAUUCAAUGACCCUCACUACUCCUACAACCCUACAGUGAGGGGUUAGCAACAGAAAUGGCCAAGAAGGGCACAUUUGUCUCUGUCACUAAUACCUGAUCCAAAUACAAGACGGCCUGAAGGAGGCAACGAAAUUAACAUCCGGAUGUAAAUGAAUACCCAAAGCUGGGUAGCUGGACGUUGUUGAUAUCAAAAUUGCAACAGUUGGUUAUACUGAAACAGACAGCAGACCCUCCAUUGGCAAGGGAUUACUCACAACACAGGAGCUGUCCGUCAGCAGAACAGGCUGCAGUUGCUGAGUUCCACUCCGAAGAAGCAGAGAUGUCAACCUGGGCAAAGCCAGCUUGGGGCCGAUAUAAAAGCCACCAGAUUAAGAAUUGGAUCAUGCAAAUGUCAAAACUCCACCAAUUCAAUGUGCUAUUGAGAAAAAUUUCCAAUUACUUGCUGAUCAUUUUUCUAUCAAAACAUUAGAUCUAAUCUUAUUUCAUUUAACGCCUUUGAAACCACAUGUUUUGACUGCAAUCAUAAUUUAAUAUUACAUAUUCCAUAUUAUCAAUGGAUACCAAGUACUAUAAACUACCAAAGUAUUUUUCCUUAAA
rnacentral:lncRNA from 1 species